UGUGGGUUUUUAUGUGGGUCCACUAUAACAGUGGUAGGGUGUUUCGGCAUGCACUGAUAUAUGCACAAUAUAUAGUGAUAUUCUCAAUGUUACCUAGAAAACAGGAUACAGGUUUAAAUCAUUCGAAAUACUUCUGCUUAAUGUUACACUGUCAGACAUGCAAAAGAAAUCUAUUGUAUCUCUUUCUCUGGCUACUGUGUAUAGACUACCAGGGCCAUAUACAGAAUUCCUAAAAUAAUUUGGAGAUUUCCUCUCAGACCUGUUGGUUACCGCUGAUAAAGCGCUAAUUUUCGGAGAUUUUAACAUUCACGUCGAUAAUACAAAUGAUGCUUAGGUAAUCAUAUGCUAUAUUUAAUUAUAUCGCAUGGAAUCGAUCUUACUGACAUAGAUAUCAUACCUCAAAGUGAUGAUGUUACUGACCAUUUCCUUGUAUCGUGCAUUCUGCGUAUUGAUGAUAAUAACUAUAUAGCUUCGCAUUAUCGUCCAGGCAGAACUAUUGUUCCAGCCACCAAAGACAGAUUCACAAAUAACCUGCCUGAUUUACAGCUCUGUGUACCCAUAAAUACACAUGAACUAGACAAAAUGACUGGCAACAUGGGCACUAUCUUCUCUAAUACAUUAGAAGCUGUUGCCCCCAUCAAAUUGAAAAAGGUUAGAGAAAAACGUAUUGUGCCAUGGUACAACAGUAAUACCCACUCUCUCAAGAAAGAAACUCGUAGUCUUGAGCGCAAAUGGAGAAAAACUAACUUGGAAGUUUUUAGAAUUGCGUGGAAAAACAGUAUGUCCAGCUAUAGACAGGCUCUAAAAACUGCCAGGACCGAGCAUAUCCACAAACUCAUAGAAAACAACCAAAACAAUCCAAGGUUUUUAUUUAGCACAGUGGCUAGAUUAACAAAUAACCAGACGCCACCCGAUCUAAAUAUUCCCUCACAGUUAAAUAGUAAUGACUUUAUGAAUUUCUUCACUGAUAAAAUAGAUAACAUCAGAAAUACAAUAACAAAUGUAGAUUCUACAGCGUCUAAUACUUUAGAUCGCACCCAAAGAUAAACUG
ensembl:lncRNA